rnacentral:misc_RNA from 1 species
GAAAUGCGAUAAGUAAUGUGAAUUGCAGAAUUCAGUGAAUCAUCGAAUCUUUGAACGCAUCUUGCGCUCCUUGGUAUUCCUUGGAGCAUGCCUGUUUGAGUAUCAUGAAAUCUUCAAAGUAAAUCUUUUGUUAACUCAAUUGGUUUCUACUUUGGUAUUGGAGGUCUUUGCAGCUUCACACCUGCUGCUCUUUGUUCAUUAGCUGGAUCUCAGUGUUAUGCUUGGUUCCACUCGGCGUGAUAAGUUAUCUAUCGCUGAGGACACUGUAAAAGGUGGCCAAGGUAAAUGCAGAUGAACCGCUUCUAAUAGUCCAUUGACUUGGACAAUACUUUUAUGAUCUGAUCUCAAAUCAGGUAGGACUACCCGCUGAACUUAAGC